UUGGGGUGACAGCCAGGGUAGAUGCAGAAGCCUCCAGAGUCCUUUGGCUGGGAGAGGAGCCUUGGGCAAGAUGCAUUUCUGAACAGAAGACAGGUUGGAGCUAGGGGCUAUGCAUAGGUGAUGGGGUUGGGGGUGCAGAGGGCAGCUUCAGGGCUGUUCUAGAACUUGGUAAACAUACAGCCUUCGCUAAAAUGAUUGGCCUGUGUGGCCUGAGGGGAAGGUGGUGCGGGGCGCGGAGGGGGUAGGGGUUGCGGAAGAGGAGGAACAAGUGUUUGGGCCUGCAGGGGGAAAGAGGGUGCUGGGACAUCUGAGAGAGCAACCUGGGCCUCCCAAACUUGGGAAUGGCCCCAUGUCAGAAACGACACUCAUGGGGAAACACUGGCGGCUCCUGUACCCCAGGUCCUGGCCUUGAGGUCAUGAAACUUUGGCAAAGCUUCCUGUAGAACUAACGCUUCUAGGGGUAAGGGCGCCUCUGUUUUCUCUGCGUGGUGAUCAUGGACAACAUGCUUUUCCAGCUCCAGCUGGGAAGAAAGGGAAGAAGGGCUCCAGCCGGGGCCUGGGAAAGGUCUCUAAGGAAUACUGAGCAUCUGCUUCUAUUACCUCCCCAGGGGCAGGGUCGGGCUCCCACACAUCUUGUUCAGUUCUUAAAAAUAGACCCACCAGGUAUGCUCUGUGUCUCAUCUUCACACAGAUGGAGAACCAAGUGGGGCGACAAUGACAGGGCAUUCAGACCUGGUCUCUCUGACUCAGGGCCCGCUCCUCCUACUGCUGCCACCCCUUCCACACCCCCGAGAAAAGCUUGACAGAGGGGAGUAGACACUCUGGCCUGUGUGCGAAGUAGCCCUGGGCUUGUUGAGUGAAGUGGUGCCGGGGGUCAUGACUUGUGUGGGUCGGGGGACGUUCAUUCCUCCGGACACCUGUCUGACCAUCCCAAUCUGCUCUGCCUGGGGAGCUGCUAAUCAGGUUAGCACUGUGUCACCCACAAAACCAUCAGAACGUUCCCACUUAGAACCUAGUGUGUUAACCUGGAGCCAGGCCCUGCGACAGGAGCUCAGGGAGGUGAUAAGGCCCGGCUCCAGCGGCCACAGGGUAGGGAAGACACAGACGUUACUGCAGGUGUGGGCAGCAGGAGAGGCUGGUGCCUGGUGCAGCCUGGGGUAGAUCACCCGAGGGCUGGGGGAGGGAGGCUUACCCACCGGGGCACCCACACAGGGUUUGUGACACCAGCAGGAACCUACAGGAAGGAUGCGGGAAAGGACGUUGGUGCAUAGAAGAUAAGCAGCACGUCAAAGGUGUGGCUUUUUCCUGUGUCUGACCCAUGACCCGCACCCCCGCCCACGCAGAGGAUGGGUAUUGUGGGCCGGAGCUCUCUGCAGAGGGGCCAGACUUUGGGCCUCGGCAGAACAGAAAGUGGCUGGAGCCCGGGCCUCAGACAGGGUGACGGGGGUGGGGAGGUGGGGGGCGACCAGGAGGCGACUGCGCAGCUCCAGGGGGGAACUUGCUCGUCCUGGCAGCACAGGCAUCUCUGUCGCCCUCUGCUCGGUCGCCCUCCACGCCCGCUGCCUGGCCUUUGUCGCGCACCCCCACCCUCGUCCCGUCCCCCGUGUCCUUCCAGGCCAGUUAGAGUCCCGGGAUGGCUGGAGCUGGAAUCCGCCAGAGGCUGGGGGUGUGUGUAACCCCCCCACACCCCAGCCUCUGGUAGAUUCCCCAACACACUCGGGACACCUACUGGGCGCCGACUGGCCCCCACUUUGCCCUCCAGGGGCGCUCGGCUGGGGGGACAGGGAGAGGACAGCCCGGAGGUCUGCCUGGUGACGGUGGAUGGGACAGAAGCCAGGUGACUGGGGACAGCACGUGUUGGGGGACGGAGGUAGUGCGGGAAUAGGGACCCCGUGUGCGCUGUGUCCCGAGUGUCAGGCAAGGAAACCGCAGUCACCACUCGGAGUUUGGGAAUCCAGGUUGACUCAGGGCGAACGGUGGCUGUGCCCUCCCCCAGCCUGCGCUGUCUGCACCUCGGAUGCUCCGCAGCUCGGAUGGGGACAUCAAAGAUUCAAUUCUGAAUCCUUCCAGCAACUCUGCGAGGGAGGCAAUACUCUCUCCAGGUUACAAACUAGGGCCCGAGAUUCAGGCUAAAAAUUACUUAACCAAGGGCACAGCGCAAGUGGCUAGCGGAGGUUGGAUUUGCACCCGGUCCUCUGUGAUCCCAGCCACAGUGCGUCCUCCCUCCUGGGGCCCUGUGGGGCUCACCUCAUCCGGAGGGCCCUCCAGCACCCCUCCCGCACUCACAGAUGGCGGGGCGCAGGGGGCCCUGGGCUCCUGGCUGGGCCCACCCCGCUGCUGACCUUCAGGGCGGGGUGUGGGGCGUUGGCUUCAGUUUUUCUUCAUGGAAUUGGCUUUGGUGCUCCCAGCUCCCCUCUGGGGGGGGGGUGGGGGGUGGGAGGGAAGGGAUGGCUCACUUACCAGAACAGUGUUUCCUAAAUGCAGGCGUAACCCACUCAUGGGUCGCAAAAUCUACUUUGUGGGUGGAGACCAACAUUUAAAAACCAUCAGAGAUUCAUUGGCACAAGCAAGUGUAGAUCUUGUUUGACAAUCGCCUCUUCCAGGGGUGGGGGUGGGGAUGGCAGGGCUGUCCUGAGUUGUAAUUUAGAGGGUCCUCACGACCCUGGACCCUGCUCCAGAGCGCAGGGAAACACACGCCCUGGGGGCCGAGGCCCGAGGCCCGGGGAGGCGGCCUCCCCACUCGCGGGGACCUCUCGGGUGGCUCAC
rnacentral:lncRNA from 1 species